AGUUUGAUCCUGGCUCAGGAUGAACGCUAGCUACAGGCUUAACACAUGCAAGUCGAGGGGCAGCAUUGGAGUAGCAAUACUUCAGAUGGCGACCGGCGCACGGGUGAGUAACACGUAUCCAACCUGCCGCUUACUCGGGGAUAGCCUUUCGAAAGAAAGAUUAAUACCCGAUGGUAUAAAGAGUUCGCAUGUUCUCUUUAUUAAAGAAUUUCGGUAAGCGAUGGGGAUGCGUUCCAUUAGAUAGUUGGCGGGGUAACGGCCCACCAAGUCUACGAUGGAUAGGGGUUCUGAGAGGAAGGUCCCCCACAUUGGAACUGAGACACGGUCCAAACUCCUACGGGAGGCAGCAGUGAGGAAUAUUGGUCAAUGGACGCGAGUCUGAACCCAGCCAAGUAGCGUGAAGGAUGACUGCCCUAUGGGUUGUAAACUUCUUUUAUAAGGGAAUAAAGUGAGGGACGUGUCCCUUUUUGUAUGUACCUUAUGAAUAAGGAUCGGCUAACUCCGUGCCAGCAGCCGCGGUAAUACGGAGGAUCCAAGCGUUAUCCGGAUUUAUUGGGUUUAAAGGGAGCGUAGGUUGACAUAUAAGUCAGCUGUGAAAGUUUACGGCUCAACCGUGAAAUUGCAGUUGAUACUGUAUGUCUUGAGUGUACAAGAGGUGGGCGGAAUUCGUGGUGUAGCGGUGAAAUGCUUAGAUAUCACGAAGAACUCCAAUUGCGAAGGCAGCUCACUGGGGUACAACUGACACUGAGGCUCGAAAGUGUGGGUAUCAAACAGGAUUAGAUACCCUGGUAGUCCACACAGUAAACGAUGAAUACUCGCUGUUUGCGAUAUACAGUAAGCGGCCAAGCGAAAGCAUUAAGUAUUCCACCUGGGGAGUACGCCGGCAACGGUGAAACUCAAAGGAAUUGACGGAGGCCCGCACAAGCGGAGGAACAUGUGGUUUAAUUCGAUGAUACGCGAGGAACCUUACCCGGGCUUGAAUUGCAGAGGAACAUAGUUGAAAGAUUAUGGCCGCAAGGUCUCUGUGAAGGUGCUGCAUGGUUGUCGUCAGCUCGUGCCGUGAGGUGUCGGCUUAAGUGCCAUAACGAGCGCAACCCUUAUCAUUAGUUACUAACAGGUCAUGCUGAGGACUCUAGUGAGACUGCCGUCGUAAGAUGUGAGGAAGGUGGA
rnacentral:rRNA from 1 species